rnacentral:pre_miRNA from 1 species
CUUAUACUCCCUCCGUUCCGAAUUACUUGUCGCACGUAUGGAUGUAUCUAGAUGUAUUUUAGUUCUAGAUACAUCCAUUUCAGCGACGAGUAAUUUGGGACGGAGGGAGUAUAUG